rnacentral:lncRNA from 1 species
UGAUUUCCCUCUUUUCGCUGUUCUUGCAUUUAGAUGAGUCUUUCUGGUUGUAUAAUCUGAGUUCUUGUAGCCUUGAUAAAAGUGCGUUAGAAGUAUCUCUUGGUUAAAAGCGUAAGUUUCUUGUCUAGUUGCUGUUCUCGUAAGAUUUUGUUUGAUUGUUUGUUAAGUUCUUAUUCAGUUGAGUUUUUGGUUGAUUUUGUUAAACAAAAGUUGUUAUUUGUUGAAAAUAUUUGGUUUAAAAAUACUAUAACUAUACCGUGGUAUGCAAACAAAAAAUUGGGAAGAAUGAAGCAUCACAAACCUUCAACCUCAAAGUCGAAGGAAGCCUCUGGAUCUCAAAACCCUAACCCUACACUUGGUCAGAUUGAUGACCACUCCGAGGUUUGAGUGGUGUUGAAGAAGGAAUUGCUUCGGUUUCCAUACAAGAACACUCUACUGCUACAGCUGCAGAAAUCGUCGAGGCACCUUCGAGUUCGAGUGUUAAUGGGGACGAUGAUUCUGCAGAAAGAUUUGGGAAUUUGGCAGAAACAGAGGCUGCUUCAGAUCAUUCAGUAAGAUCUCAACCCUUUUUUCCUUUUGUUCCUAUGUACUGAAUCCAAAAAAUACUCAACGAAAUGGAGCAUGGUAAGUAUAUACAAGGGUUUAUGGAAAUAUGUUGCAAAGACUUGAUGAGUAAUGUAGAUAAUUAUUACAUGAAACCAAGAAUAAUAUUAUUUGUACAUAAUUGGAGGGUCUUUUUAUAAGCUUGAAAUUUGUGGUUCAUGGCCUUGGUUAGUUGUUUGAAAGUGAAGAUUAAUAUUGAAUGGAUUCUGUUAAAGAUAAAAGGGAGGAGGAAAAGAAAAGUAAAUCUUGUUGGAAUUGAAUUUUAAUAACAAUUAAAAUGAAAAAAAAUAGGGAUGGAUGAUGGGAGUGUUGAGCUUGUAAUUGCUAUUAGCAUGUUUGAUUUGAUUUAUUACUUUUGAUGCAGGAAGAUGAAGAUGAUGACGACGCUUACAAUGUGUAUUGUAUACAAUCAGUCUUGAAUAUCAGCUUGUGAAACACACACUGAUAUUUCUAAAAAGUUUUCUUUGAUAUUCUGCAUUUAAUGCACGUAAGCAUCAUCUAUUAUCUAUUUCAUGAUUACACAAUGCAUCCCAUUGAUUGAUUUUGUG